UAAAAGAAGGGCUCAAGGUAAUUGGUGUCAGAUGACUUAACAUUACUAAUCAAUAUUGCAGGUUGCUUCAGCCACAGGACAAGGAUCUGUUCGCUGCUUUCCCCUUGUUUUUUGCAAUUGGUAAGUCUUAUGCUUCCUUCAACCUGAUGUUGAGUAAUCGUGUUUAUACUCUUGUGUAGGAUAUAGCCCAACAGGCUGUAUCUUGUAAGGAGUAUGAUUUCAUUGGAGUCUACUAGGAAUGUGCACAAGGCUUUUUGAAACUCUUACAGCUAUGAUAUUUUGUUUGAUAUUGGUUGAAUAUGUAGUUCAUUUAUGGGGUUAAAAUACCCGUUGAAA
rnacentral:misc_RNA from 1 species